UGUCUCUCUCUCAAAUAAAUAAGUAAAAUUAAAUAAAAAAAAAAUUCAUUCAGCCAACCAACACAUAUGGGUGGGGGGAGGGUCCUGUCCCAGUGCUAGGAAUACAUUAGGUGGUAAAAGAGUCCUCAUAGAAUUUGCUGUUGGUAGGGGUGAAGCUGGAGGCUGGGAGAGAGGCAGGCAAUAAACAGCUAACUUCAGAAUUAUUUAAUUGGGAUUUUGGGAAGUGUAUGGAGCAGAACAGAGAAGCAUGAGUGGGCUCUGACCUAGCCAUGGAGACCAGGGAGCCCUCCCCAGCACAUGGCAUUUCAGCUGGAAGGAAUGAGUAGCUUUAGCUAUGUAGAGAAGGGGCCUGGGUGUGGUGGUGGUGGCAGGGAGGAUCUGUUGUGGCAGAGGGAACAGCUGUUAUGGCAAAGGGAACAGCAAGUGCAAAGGUCCUGAGGCAGAAAGGUGGUAGGUGCUUUAUAAGAACAGAAAGACAGCCAGUUUGGUUGGAGUCCUGGGAGAGAAGUGGGAGAGCAGAGCAAGUUGAGGCCAGAGGUAGCAGGCAGGGCUUGGCCAGGCUGGCCUAGUUGAGGUUGUUUAUCUUUACCCUAAGAGCUGUGGGAAGCCAUUUCUGGGCUCUCCCCAGGGGUGGGGACACCAUCUGGACCCCAUGAGAUCAGCACAGCUAAACCAGGCAGCAUUUAAUCCAGGAUGGUCCAAAAAGGGCACCAGGAGGUUGAGGAUCACCUGCGUAGGCACCUUGGCUCCCCAAGGCAAGGGUAACUUUAGGAAGAGACCCCAUUUCAGGCUUGAUGGACCUUGGGCAUGCUUCUUCUGCUGUUUGCCCAGUCACUCAGCAAAUGUUUAUGGACAGCCUGUGCUAGGUGCCUGGCAAACAGUGCCGAACCUCAGCAGAUAAUGGCUCCAAGUCUGGUGUAGCCUACAUAGUCUAGUGUGCUGGUUGCCAGCUUCCGUAAAGGGCCAGAUAACUGAUAUUUUAGGUUUUGUGGGCCAUAGAGUAUCUGUCGUAAUGAUCAACUCUACUGUUGUAGUGCAAAUCCAAGCCAUAGACCAUAUGUAAACAGAUAGGUGCAUGGGUGCAUUCCAAUAAAACUUUAUUUAGAAACACAGUCUGUGGGCCGGAUCUGGCCCAGGAGCUGCAGCAUGCCUGCCCCAUAUCUAUGGGCAUGAGAGUCCCUUUACAGAUCAUACCUGACAUGGUGUGAGCUGGUUAACGAGUUAGCAGAGGAAAGAUGGCAGGGGUAAAGAGUGGAGAGUGAAUAGAUACAGGAAGAAGUUAAGGGAAGCAGCCAUGAGAAGAUCUCGGCAGGUAGAGUUUCCAGCAGAAUGAACAGCACUCGAGAGCUUUAAGGUGGGAGCUACUUAAAGAACAGCGAAGGGGUUAGCGGGGCUGUUGGUGAGUCAGGGUGAGGAACGAGUGGCCGGGUGGGCCCCGGCUCAGGGACAAGUGUGUUAAGGAUUUCAGAUUACAUCAGGGGAAGCUUUGAAAUGCCUGGGGGCGUUUCAAGAGGCUGCUACAGGGUGAACAGACUGGAGGGGCGAAGGUAGAGUGGGGAGCCCAGGGAGGAGGUGCCUAGAGUCCAGGUGAGAGAGGAUGGCUGGCAGCUUAGGGCUGGAGCAUUGUGGAGAGGGAGAUGGGUGUGCCUGUGGCUUAUGUUUUGACAGGAGAGCCAUCAGGAUUCGCUAUGGAUUGGACAGAAGGCAUGUGAGAGAGAGGAGUCCGGCUGACCCAAGCCCUGGCAGGGAGGGUGGAGGGGCCUCUGCUGAGUGGGGGAGCUUGAUGCGGGUCAGGGUGGCCGGGAGGACCAGCGCCUUCCUUCACUCGGUCCGCUCUCAGAUGUGGGUCCUUUCGCAGUGGCAGCAGAACGCUGCUACUAGAGAAAAAUGAGAUCCUUCUGGACUGACUAUUUUUAAUAGCUUGGGAGACUCUAGAUUCAUGGCUCUGCCUUUUGAGGGCAAGGGGCUAGUCUGUGGGAUUUCUCAUCCUGCAAAUUUGGGUGAAUCUCUUCCCCUCCCUGGGCCCCAGCUUCCCCAUCUAUAAAAUGGCACAAGAUGAGACAUGAUGCAGAAGCCCUCAUUCUAAACUAAGCCAGUAGGUACACUGGAGCGUGAAGGGCUGGGAUUUGAACCCAGAGCCCCUCGGACUCCAGAGCUGUGUGGUCUCCCCCUCCAUCCCGUGGCUGUGUCACACAUGCAGAAUGACGAGAUAAGCCUAGGUGUGUGGCUUCUAAACCGUGGUUUGUGACCCACUGGUGGGCCAGAAGUCUGUUGAAUGAGUUACGACCAGCAUUUAAACCAAAUAACCCCAUCUAAGAGGAAAGAUAAGAGUGCACUGUAUGUAGCAGGGGGUUCCACGGAACCACACGUUUGGAGACCACGGCCAGGGGCAUCUUGCACGACUCAGACGAGCUGUGCUUUGUGCACCUGCGCCAAAACCUUGCCUUCCUCUUCAAGGAACCUGGGAUGAAAUGGCCUCCCUUUCCUCUGACGAGGGGAGGAGGCUCCAGCUUGGGGUUUGGUGUGGCGGGGAUUAGAAAGAACAAAAACAAA